AGAGUUUGAUCAUGGCUCAGAACGAACGUUGGCGGUGUGGAUUAGGCAUGCAAGUCGAACGAAUGUCAGUUUGGUAGCAAUAUUGAGCUGGCGGAAGUGGCGAAAGGGGCAGUAAUGCAUGGAUAACCUACCUUGGGGAUGGGCAUAGCCGUUCUAACGGACGGGUAAUACCCAGAGAUUCAGCGAGAGGGCAUCCUUUUGCUGGGAAAUGAAUUUCGCCUCGAGAGGGGUCCAUGUGCUAUUAGCUAGUUGGUGGGGUAACGGCCUACCAAGGCAAAGAUGGCUAGCGGGUGUGAGAGCACGACCCGCGCCACUGGCACUGAGACACUGGCCAGACACCUACGGGUGGCUGCAGUCGAGGAUCUUCGUCAAUGGGNNCAAGCCUGAACGAGCGCCCGCGUGCGCGAUGAAGGCCUUCGGGUUGUAAAGCNNCGAAAGUGGAGAGAAAGGGAAACUUGAUCAAUCCACAGUAAGGACGGGCUAAGUUCGUCCAGCAGCCGCGGUAAGACGAACUGUCCUAACGUUGUUCGGAAUCACUGGGCUUAAAGGGCGCGUAGGCGGUCCAACAAGUCAGGGGUGAAAUCCUGCAGCUUAACUGUAGAAGUGCCUCUGAUACUGUUGGUCUGGAGGGAGAUAGGGGUGUGCGGAACUUCCAGUGGAGCGGUGAAAUGCGUUGAUAUUGGAAGGAACCCGGAGGCGAAACGGCGCACUGGAUCUCUACUGACGCUGAGGCCGAAAGCCAGGGGAGCAAACGGGAUUAGAUACCCUAGUAGUCC
rnacentral:rRNA from 1 species